rnacentral:lncRNA from 1 species
AGAGUUUUUGCUAGUCCGAGUGGAAAUAAUUAUUUGUUGACUACCCAUUUUCCCUUUUUACUUGAGAAAAAGAUUGAGAGGGGGGAGGCAGAGCAGCAUCAUGAGUCAUCUGGAGAAUGCAAAGAGUACUUUUGAUCUUUGGACUGAAGAGUUAGAACGUUGGCCUUCCUUGAUAACAAAAUUUUCAAGGGGAGGGGGGAUUAAUGGAUGACUAUGAACCGUUAUGGACAAUCUUAAGCAAAUCCGAUCUUGGGUUUCAUGAAAAGGAGAUUCCCAAGGGUUGACCAGUUUUGGUUGUUUUGAAAUCUAAAAGAUGGACUGAUGAGCAUCCUUAUUGCCUUUUUAGAGACCUAAAGUUGUCUACUUUAACAUAUUGAAUGAUUAUGAGACAGUUCUAAGUUUAAUGAAUGGGGACAGCUUUAUAUCGGUCAUGUAUGCAUGACAUUUAUUCCAUGCCAUUAUAUGAUACCUCUACUGUGAAGCCAAGGGUGGGCACAACUUAGCAAUGGAUACUUAAAUCUGGAGAUUGCUUGGAACAUCUUUGUGCAUAUGCACUUUGUAAGAGCGAUGUUUGAAGUCUUGAUAUUGAUUCGCUUACACCAAUUUAAUUGUUUUGUUUCUCUCGUUUUUCUCUUGGUGCAGUCAUAUACUUAAGUUUCUGGGCAGAGGUGCACUACAACUCAAUCUAUCCUCAAGGAGGUAGUUGCUUGUACAUUUAUCUCCUGUUCCUGUUUAUUUUGUCUUAGCAUUGAGAGUUGAGUGGGAGUUUGCUGAUCUUGCUUAGUUUAGAAUUCCAUUCUAUUAUCAUAUUAUUCUAAUACUGUAGUUUGAUGCUCCAUUCUAGACUUCCUGCCAUUUGAUCUUAAGAAGAAGAAGAAGAAGUGGAGUUUCUGGAACAAGCAUUAAGAGUUCUGGACCUAUUCAAAGGCAAACACUUAAAUACAACGUCAUCAUUCUGGCUUUGAUACACAGCUUCUGGUGCAAGACUUACAUUUCAUUCUUUUCUUCUUUGAUAAACAAUACUUACUUUUCAUUCAUAUAAUAAUUGUUCACAUAAUUAUUACAGUAUAGCAUAGUCAAUAGUUUUAUCAGUUGCAUAAUAAGAUCAUAUUGUUGUAUAGACAUCUUGUUUUUCUUAAAACAUUGUGCUCCACAUGCACAUCUCUCCAAUUAGUACAAUGGUCUACACAAAAUCUCAUAUACUUUGUUAUACUGGGUUUUA